GUGCCAGCAGCCGCGGUAAUACGUAGGUGGCAAGCGUUAUCCGGAAUUAUUGGGCGUAAAGGGUGCGCAGGCGGCCCGUUAAGUCCAAGGUUAAAGCCCGUAGCUCAACUACGGUACGCCUUGGAAACUGACGGGCUAGAGUGCAGGAGAGGGCAACGGAAUUCCAUGUGUAGCGGUAAAAUGCGUAGAUAUAUGGAGGAACACCGGUGGCGAAGGCGGUUGCCUGGCCUGUAACUGACGCUCAAGCACGAAAGCGUGGGGAGCAAAUAGGAUUAGAUACCCUAGUAGUCCACGCCGUAAACGAUGAGAACUAAGUGUUGGGGAAACUCAGUGCUGCAGUUAACGCAAUAAGUUCUCCGCCUGGGGAGUAUGCACGCAAGUGUGAA
rnacentral:rRNA from 1 species